CCUACGGGAGGCAGCAGUGAGGAAUAUUGGUCAAUGGGCGGGAGCCUGAACCAGCCAAGUCGCGUGAGGGAAGACGGUCCUAUGGAUUGUAAACCUCUUUAGGCAGGGAGCAAUGCCGGGCACGCGUGCCCGGAGGGAGAGUACCCGAAGAAUAAGCAUCGGCUACCUCCGUGCCAGCAGCGGCGGUAAUACGGAGGAUGCGAGCGUUAUCCGGUUUUAUGGGGUUUAAGGGUGCGUAGGCGGAUUUUUAAGGCAGCGGUAAAAGUGCGGGGCUCAACCGGGGCCGGGCGGUGAAAAUGGGGAUCUUGAGUGGGCGAGAAGUAUGCGGAAUGCGUGGUGUAGCGGUGAAAUGCAUAGAUAUCACGCAGAACUCUGAUUGCGAAGGCAGCAUACCGGCGCCCGACUGACGCUGAGGCACGAAAGCGUGGGGAUCGAACAGGAUUAGAUACCCUGGUAGUC
rnacentral:rRNA from 1 species